rnacentral:snRNA from 11 species
AUACUCUGGUUUCUCUUCAGAUUGUAUAAAUCUUUCACCUUUUGCUAAAGAUUUCCGUGGAGAGGAACAUUUAUGAGUUGGCAAUCAAUUUUGGGGAGAUGAGUUUAGCACAGUGGGCUAAACC